ensembl:misc_RNA 7SK 7SK RNA
UGACAUGAGAGUGACCUGCUUGUGACCUGUCACCCUGAUGAUUGCCAGGGUUGGUUCAUCGGAUCUGGCUGGUGAGGGAAUGUUCCCUUUCUCCCUCACCAUUCCAUGUGCAUCCUUCCCAAAGCUAUGUGCUCCAUUGAACAGUGCAACCACUCCCUGUAGAGGACCAUUUUUUUCAAUCAAAAGUAUAGGAGUAGCUCCUCUUCCCGCUAGAACCUAGCCUCAAAAAGAAUAAAAUUAUAAAUAUCAUUAACAAAGCUAAAAUGCACAUCACAAUUUAAAAUUCUACAUUU